rnacentral:rRNA from 1 species
UACAGGGGGUGCAAACGUUGCUCGGAAUUACUGGGCGUAAAGCGCGUGUAGGCAGCUUGGCAAGUCGGGUGUGAAAGCCCUGGGCUCAACCUAGGAAGUGCACUCGAAACUGCUUCGCUUGAGUAUCGGAGAGGAAAGCGGAAUUCUCGGUGUAGAGGUGAAAUUCGUAGAUAUCGAGAGGAACACCAGUGGCGAAGGCGGCUCACUGGACCGGUUCUGACGCUGAGGCGCGCAAGCGUGGGGAGCAAACGGG